AAAGGAAUUUCACUCGUUGGUCCACCUAGUAUGGGGAAGACCAUGCUUGCUAAAGCUGUCGCAACAGAAAGCUGGUGCUAACUUCAUCAACAUAUCAAUCUCAAGCAUUGCCUCUUAAGGUUGCUGUUCACGAAUUAAGGAAACAAGUCUGCCUUGCGCGCUUUACUGCAGAAUAUGUAGCCAAACAACUCUCCAUUGCACAAUAGAUUGCAGCGAUUCGGUCUGGCUUCAAAAUUCAAAAGAACCUGCAGUGAUGCAGCGCUGGCUCCACCCUAGGCACCUGAGGUCGAUAUGUGGACCGAUGGGCGGACGUUUGGACGACAGCGG